rnacentral:rRNA from 1 species
AGUGAACGCUGGCGGUAGGCCUAACACAUGCAAGUCGAACGGCAGCACAGGAGAGCUUGCUCUCUGGGUGGCGAGUGGCGGACGGGUGAGGAAUACAUCGGAAUCUACUUUUUCGUGGGGGAUAACGUAGGGAAACUUACGCUAAUACCGCAUACGACCUACGGGUGAAAGCAGGGGACCUUCGGGCCUUGCGCGAUUGAAUGAGCCGAUGUCGGAUUAGCUAGUUGGCCGGGUAAAGGCCCACCAAAGCGACGAUCGGUAGGUGGUCUGAGAGGGUAAUCAGCCACACUGGAACGGAGACACGGUCCAGACUCCUACGGGAGGCAGCAGUGGGGAAUAUUGGACAAUGGGCGCAAGCCUGAUCCAGCCAUACCGCGUGGGUGAAGAAGGCCUUCGGGUUGUAAAGCCCUUUUGUUGGGAAAGAAAUCCAGCUGGCUAAUACCCGGUUGGGAUGACGGUACCCAAAGAAUAAGCACCGGCUAACUUCGUGCCAGCCGCCGCGGUAA